rnacentral:lncRNA from 1 species
UGAGCAUACAACAAAUUUAAUGAAAUUUAACAAGAAACAAUAAAUAUGAUUGUACAGGAACGUCAUGUCACUUUCCAUCCAGAGACAGGUUUAGCUUACAUUUUCAGCGAGGCUGCCCUAACUCUGAACUAUCAGACAGUGGGCUUCUAGCAGGUUUUUUUUUCUGUUAAACCUUUCUUUUCUGUCACUGAAACAGGACACAGUCCAGUGAAAUUUCCAUCCUUGAGGACAGCAAACUAGACAGCACCAGAGCUGACCUGGCUUAAUGCUGGCAAGUAUCCUGCUGUGAGCAAGGGAUUGGAUGAGAAAACCUCAAGAGAGGCCUUCCAAACAACAGCCCAGCAGUCCUGCGAUGUUAAACUUGGUCUGUACGCAAUGGGUGUUACAUUUGGAUUGGCUUCUGGUGUCUGAAAAAGACUGAGAAUGGAUGAGAUCCUGCAUGAUUGCCAAAGUUGCAGACUGUGUCACAUUCAGAUCCUGCACUCUCUGUGUCCAAACUGGAUUCGCAUUACAGAAGACUACACUGCUGGGAGCAGAUCCAUUCAAGACAAUGCCAAACUUCUGAGCCAAGCAGCUUGGUCUUGAUAUCCAAAAAGUUUCUGUCCCCACAGUUGUGUGUCUAUUCCAUCUCUUCUGUGGUUUGUCUAAAUCAAAGCUGUACAGUGACCCUGCUUAUAAUCCUUACAGCUUCUGCCAAAAUGCUGACACUCUAGCAGACAUGGCAUGACUGAGGCUUGUGACUCAGGGCACUGCUUUCCAUGCACAGAAGCUGAGCUGCUCACAGGUCAGUUGCUGACGAACUGCAGAUCACACUGUAACAUUUACUUUCACGUUUUGCUGUAAACUGCAUUGGUUUAGCACCUCAUCGUACAUCUCAGCCAUUCCUGCAUCUGGGGAGUGAACAGAUAAAAUUGUCAGUAGUCAUCUUGUCAGCUGUCCUUAGGCAUGCCUUUUCCCUUCUUGAAUCAGAACCUUUUCUAAAGGUCAUUCUUUUGACUUCUUUGCUGUUUUGGGGUAAGAUCAUAAGCAUGUUGGUUUUAAAAAGCAACUGCAGCAACAGCUACUGGCAUGACAGAGGAGAUAGCAG